rnacentral:ncRNA from 1 species
ACUAUUCCCUGUGAUUGGCUUUGGACCUUUCCUACACAACUUAGGUGGAACUAAAGAAUGCCUCCUUCAGGGGGGCUCGAGUCAUCAGUGAGAUACUAUUUUUGAAGUUAGAAUUCUAACCUUGUGUUAGGACCUAUGGAUCGAUUGACUUUGGGAUAGUCUCAGGUAGACAGUUUCUAUGGAUUGUAGGUCUUCCAGAAGGUAACGGAAGCGUGCAAAGGUUUCAUCGAUCUGAAUGAAGAUUGGCUCUCAAGUACAAAGACAGAAGGGAGCUUGACUACAAGACAUGUCCAUUGAGCAGGGACAUUUUAAUGAAUGACAAAAGCGUUCUUUCACC